rnacentral:rRNA from 1 species
AGCGCAGGCGGGAAGACAAGUUGGAAGUGAAAUCCAUGGGCUCAACCCAUGAACUGCUUUCAAAACUGUUUUUCUUGAGUAGUGCAGAGGUAGGCGGAAUUCCCGGUGUAGCGGUGGAAUGCGUAGACAUCGGGAGGAACACCAGUGGCGAAGGCGGCCUACUGGGCACCAACUGACGCUGAGGCUCGAAAGUGUGGGUAGCAAACA